UGGUAUACAGUUUUUCUAAUUGCAAUUACU
rnacentral:piRNA from 1 species